rnacentral:lncRNA from 1 species
UUGCCAUUGUCGGUGUCAGUAAUGGGCUUUACAGACCCAAAGAGUGGGAUUUUAAAAGUCUUCCCCAUAAAUAAACAUGAAGAAAGCAAUCUCUUGGCCCCAGAAACCACUUCCUAGCCUAGGAUAAGCACCACUAUCAAAUUGCGGAGCCAGGCUAAUGAAAGUGGACUGGAGAAAUCUACCCCGAGGAAAGGGAAGCCUGGUUUUGUGGGGGUGUGGGCGCGUGCUUGGCUCAUCCCAACGUGUUGGCCUUCUGGCUAGCAGGAGGAAUUAAUUCUGGCCUCUGCAGCAGCCCUUGCUUCCUUGCCAAAAGGCAAGAGGCUGGAGUCCUGCUCGUGGCUCCCUCCUCCUCCUGCCACCUAUACAUCCCCGAGUCACUUCCAAGGGUGGAGAAGCCUUUGAAGUCGGUAGUGACGCCGUGGAGGGUGAAGGCUUCAGAGAACUGAAGAGGUGAACACAGGGCCAGCAGAUAAGCAACCUAAACAACCAAGAGUGCACUCCCAGGCACAGAAUGAAGAAUUUCCGACACUGAGUUUUUGCCUGGCUUUUGCUUAGUCUAGUUUUUAGAGCUAUGAAGGAUGAUGUUCCUGAACUUGGCUAAGCCAGAAAUGGAAGCCAGCUGGGUGUCAGCGUAAUGAACCAGUGAACAUCAGCUCUCCCAUAUGGGGCUAAGGAAGGAUGAAGAAUCCAGCGGGAAAGACCGAGAGCACAUGGCUU